AUGGACCGUCCAACUUGGCCCAUA
rnacentral:siRNA from 1 species